AUGGCCUGGUUUGGAUGCUGGUCAGCUGCAGGUGGGUUGUUGGGGCCAGAGCCAUCUGGAGAUGAGUGUGGUUCAGAUGGUACCAGGGGAGGGGUGGCAAUGACGUUUCUCUCCCGCCCUCUCAGGGCUUUCCCUGAGGAUCUGCCACCUCAACACACCUUCACUUCAGGGAGCUUAACAAUAUUCAGCCGAAGCUCUUCGUUAACAUGAUCCCUGGCUCUCAGCAGCGUGUACCAGGAGCCUUUUUCCCUGCAGUGUUUAUGCACUUUAGCUAUUUGCAGGAUGUUGUCAUCUCUCCCCUUGGUUGCUGCUUGCUUGAAGUAGGCAGAUGCUGCACUUAAAAUACUUCUGUCUGGAUUCCCCCAGCCUCUGGAUCAUUACAGCCUCCCCUUAAACUCUUCUCAGUGUAUCAAUAUCUUUUCUAGUAAUUACAUGCUUAAAGAGCAUGCAAUAGCCCCGGUUUUAAUACACCCUCUCCAGCCCAGUAUAAACACACAGCAACUUGUAUACAGAAAACAAACCCGAAGCCUUACUCGGAAAGCUUUCCACUCCAUCCACAGCUAUCUCUCUUGGGGAGUGAAUGAGAAAGAGCACAUGCUGCGACUGACAGGCUCUCGGCGUCUCUCAGAGCGCUGUUGGACCGCGUUCAACAGCUAAUGGCAGCGACGCUGGGGGAAGGACGCGGGGCAGCGAGCCCGGCUCGCCUCCCUGUCUGAGCCCGCCGUGGUCGGAGAUCGUCAGAGCAGCCUUUCUGGGGAUGCAACAUCAAAUGGGAAUUGAUUUCUGGUUUAAUAGUCUAAAUGCACCGUAGGAACAUCUACCGAAGGAAAAAAGUUCUGCCAGCAUCUCCCAGUGACCGUGGGCUGAUGAGGUGCUGCCCUGGACUGGGGGACUGGAGGACCUGUGUCUGAAGACCACCAGUUCUCAGUGUUUCAGCACAAAUUAAGACGAGCAUCCAUGAGGUGGUUAAUGAUGCCUGGUCCUUGCCGUGGGGCUGUGCUGGCCCACAAAGGCUGCCCCUGUUUUCUCAUGGCCAGGGCUGGUGGGUGCUGACAGCAUCAUUCCCUGAAGGUGUGAAGAAGCCAGGCUUGCUGGUUCCACCUUGUCAUCCACCAGCGUGGGGAGAUGGGCUGUGGAGCCUGCCAGGCCCUCCCGUGCUGGGCAUCCCUCAUCUGUCAGAGGGAAAUGCGGCUGAAAAGUGUCACUGCAUGGUGCUGGUGGGCCAGGGACACCCCUGCAAAGGAGCAAAUGGUCCUUUGGAAAUGACCUCGGGACGGGCUUGUCCCAGGGCUGCCAGCCUGCCACGUCCAGCACUCAUUUCCUGGCUGAGGGAAGGAGAGAACAGCACCAGGGAAAUAUCCCCGGUGUCAGGUGCUUGCAAAUACUGGGGUUUGCUGGUGCGUGCCCUGCUGGAGGGCUGUUCUUCACUGAGAUAACAUUGUUUUUUACCAAGGGUUUCAGUUUCCUCUAAGCAUAACUCGCUUUGCUGUUAAGACCUGAAUCUCUGCUGAUAAAGGAAGACUGAGCUCACAAGAAUAUAAAGUUUCCAGAGGGUAAUUGGAGAACCUCCUCCCUGCCUUGCACUUCCCAUCAGCAGGGCCUGCUCCUGCGAGGUGUCUCGCUCAGAGCACGGCGAGGCAGGGACCCCAGCAGAGCAUCCUGUUUGCAGGGGGCAGCUGCGGGCAAUGAUUUUUCCAGGACUGCAAUGCUGUUCCAACAGAGGCCAGCACCUCUAAAAUCCCAGGGGAUGCUCUGUGGUUUCACAUCACUCAGGUUUUCACGCUGAGGAAUGGGACCUCGGGGUGACUCCUUCCUCCUUUGGCACACACAAAGAGCUCUCUUGCUGUAAGAAAUGCCUUUUCAUAUGGCAUUCCUUGUUAACGUAGUUCUUCACCUUUGCCCUAAAUUAAAGUGUGAUCUAAAUGACAGAUACUAUCUGUUUUUAUUGUACUACUCAUUUUUCCUUAAUCAGAUAUUAACCUUCAUUGCUUUUGCAAUGCGGAGGCAUUAUUGCAGGUGAGUGACCAGUCCCAAGCAUUUCAAAAGUCUGGCUAAUCUGAGAAGAAAAUGGGCCCAGCAGGAGAACUGCCCAUGAGGAAGGAGAUGAACCAAGGGGUGGAGAGGGAAGGAGAGUUCUGAGGGUGUGACUGUGCUGCCUUUGUCCAUCUGACACAGACAAACCCAUCUUUUUCUCUCUCAAAUCUUCCUUUUGGAGUAACAAAUUCUUGCCCUUUUCAUACAUGUGCAGCAGGUGAAACACACGGAAACAGGCUGCUAAAGGCAGAAAAAAAUUAGUUAAUUUUUGGGUCAAACUGUUCACUUUGUAACCAAAGUUUCAGAGUGGCUUUUUUUUUUUUUUUUUUGAAGAUUUGAGUUGAUCUGGGGAGGGGAGGCAAGUCUCCCCCUCCCCAUCAACUCUUGCAAUUAGGGAGCUUUUUAUUCUGUGUGCUGGUAAUGUGGGGCCAUCUGUAUUGGCUCCAGCAGGUCCCGUUCCCCAGCUCCUGUGCUUAAUUGCACUUCCAUUGGCAACUUGAGCAGUCCCUGCAUGUGUUUCAAAUGAACUCCCCACUUCAGGCUGGUUUUACAGAUCACCUUUUGUGAUUGGCAAUUAAAACCCCUUUCAGCGGAGGGAGAACUACUGCCUGACUUUCAGCUUGUAUCUCCCUCCUUCAGCUUGCUCUUUCACAUUUUCUAAUACUCGCUCAGGUCCUUAUCUAUUGCACAGGCCCUGCCGAGGAGCUGUUUGUCUCCCCCGAUGGGAAGCGUGCCUUUUGGGAGAGCAGCUGGGUUUUCCCUGCAGAACAGGACAUCUCCAGCUGCGCAGCAGAUCUGCCCGGCUCUUAGGUGCUCGUGGGGAACAGAGGCGGAGGUGAGCACAAAAAGGGAUGGAGAGCAAAGGAGGGCAGGCCGAGCCCAGUGGUAAAUCCAUCCCCUGAAGCUGCAGCGCAAACAGGAAAUGAUCUCUUAACGCUGUGCACCUGCAUCUCCAGGAACAACAUCCAAAAGGGGCCCAAGCCCGCAGCAGGGUCCAGAGGAAUGGCGCUCUCGAGUCCAACGCAGGGAUUUUUAAGACUCCUUGGCCAGCUCCAGUCCUCGCUCAGCUUCUGGUUCCUGCCUUGCGCCUCUGCCAGAUGCGUGCUCCUUUCCCUCCCCUGCAGUAAAGGAUUUCUGUGCUGUGGAAAAGCACCGAGGUGGCAGCUCUGGGAGCUGGGGGCUGGCGGUGCCUGGCUGCCCGGCACAGCAGCACUGCUGUGGUUCGUGCAAGGCUGGUGUGUGGGGACAGCGAUGCUGCUGAGGGCUUUCAGCAGCCAGAUGACCUGGAACCAUCAGCACGGUGAGCUCACAGCUCCCGGCUAUCCGCUGCCAAAGCUCCUCAUCGGAAAAAAAAAAAGUGCGCUCAGAUGAAAAUGCGCUUAUCCCGAGGCUGGGACGGCUGCGCCCAGCCCCGUGUGGAGCCGCCCCGGCUUAGCUGGGCGCCAUCGGCCAGGAUGGGAAUGUCAACGGGACCGAAACCAGUGGGACAGAUCUCCUGCCCGGCCAGGAAUCCAGUCGGGCUGCUGCGAGGCGGGUGGGUGUCAGCACCCACACUCAUUAAGCGCAGGCGAGGCUGUCACCUGGCCGAGCUGCCUCCCGAAGCACAGGUCCUACCAGGUCUGCUGGCUCUUCCAUUCGGCUGUGACAUGAAUUAAAGUGUCUUUAAAGAUCCAGUGCUGAGGGUUUCCUCUGACCUCGGAGGAUCUGACGGGACUUGAAAGGCUGGGAAGCUGCAGCUGAACUCACAGCGGAAGGAAGGUGAUUCCUUGUCAGCCAGACUCGCUGGUUCAGAGACAAAUACACUCCCCUGUAAUCACUGCUUUGCCAGGAGCUUCACCUUUCCUUUGCAGUGCAGGCAGUGUCCACACAAAGCAGAGCCUGACCUUCGGAGGGAUGUGGAGCACUCUGGUGUUGCAGCCACUUCCAAGCCAGAGUCCUCCCCCGUGCUGUGAGACCGAGGUCGGGCGGCGUUCCCAAAUCCACUGCACUCGCCCUACAGAUGUGGAGGAAGAAAGGGGGCAGAGAGCCUCUGGCAGCAAAGACCUAAAGCUUGGAAAAGCCUGAAAGAAAUUGCCUGCAGCUGCUUCUGCAGCAGGCUAAAAUGCGAGACAUGACAGUACUUCUUGGAUCGCAGGGGGGUGGGAGAGGUGUUUUCUGGAGGCUUGCUUCCCCUGUCCCAUGGGGGCGUCUAACAGGGUGACUGUGGGAUUUAGCUCUGUGAUGGGGGGAUUAGGCGUUCCUCAGCAAAGACGGUUUCACAUUCUUUCACCCUGAUUUACCACUCGGUGCUUUCCUUCCCUGCACAGAAAUCGUCUCGCUCAGCCCCCUUCCAGUUACGGCGUUAUAAGGGUUUACAGCCCAGCGUCCUUUUCUAGUGUAUUUGCCUUGAUUUAAUGCUUUGAUUUGAAAGUUAUUUUUUACAAUAAGAGAAAGAUGGUCCAUGCCAAAAAAAGCAGUUUCAUAAAAUGCUGAACAUGACUUGCAUUCUGUAAUUGCAAACCUGAGAGACUUGGAGUAAUUGACAUUUUGGAUGUAUUGCAGAGUAUCGUAUUUAAUCUUGAAAAGCAGGUUCCAGGCAAAGGAGGCAACUGCCAAACCAAACUCAGACUCCUCGCCGGGUUCCUACCAUAACUCAUUUUCAAAUCCAUUCAGCACAGUCCUGAACCCAAAUGUUUACGUUUUUGAUUUGCUAAGAUAAUAUUCCUGGGUCACCGAAACUGUUUGUCAGGGAGCGUCUCGAAGAGACAGCCGGACUCGGCGAUGUGCCGGCCCAAGUCUCGUAGGCGUGCGAGGGCCCUGGUGCUUUCUGGCUCUCCGAUGAGCUCCUGGAGAAUCACAUCUGUCUCCCAGGAAUGCAGUUCCCCUGCUGCAUGGGAUGACUGAUAUCUCGCCUUGUUGUCCA